UAAGCAUAUCAAUAAGCGGAGGAAAAGAAACCAACAGGGAUUGCCCUAGUAACGGCGAGUGAAGCGGCAACAGCUCAAAUUUGAAAUCUGGCUCUUUUAGAGUCCGAGUUGUAAUUUGCAGAGGGCGCUUUGGCUUUGGCAGCGGUCCAAGUUCCUUGGAACAGGACGUCACAGAGGGUGAGAAUCCCGUACGUGGUCGCUGGCUAUUGCCGUGUAAAGCCCCUUCGACGAGUCGAGUUGUUUGGGAAUGCAGCUCUAAAUGGGAGGUACAUUUCUUCUAAAGCUAAAUAUUGGCCAGAGACCGAUAGCGCACAAGUAGAGUGAUCGAAAGAUGAAAAGCACUUUGGAAAGAGAGUCAAACAGCACGUGAAAUUGUUGAAAGGGAAGCGCUUGCAGCCAGACUUGCUUGCAGUUGCUCAUCCGGGCUUUUGCCCGGUGCACUCUUCUGUAGGCAGGCCAGCAUCAGUUUGGGCGGUAGGAUAAAGGUCUCUGUCACGUACCUCCUUUCGGGGAGGCCUUAUAGGGGAGACGACAUACUACCAGCCUGGACUGAGGUCCGCGCAUCUGCUAGGAUGCUGGCGUAAUGGCUGUAAGCGGCCCGUCUUGAAACACGGACCAAGGAGUCUAACAUCUAUGCGAGUGUUUGGGUGUCAAGCCCGAGCGCGUAAUGAAAGUGAACGGAGGUGGGAACCCGCAAGGGUGCACCAUCGACCGAUCCUGAUGUCUUCGGAAGGAUUUGAGUAAGAGCAUGGCUGUUGGGACCCGAAAGAUGGUGAACUAUGCUUGAAUAGGGUGAAGCCAGAGGAAACUCUGGUGGAGGCUCGCAGCGGUUCUGACGUGCAAAUCGAUCGUCAAAUUUGGGCAUAGGGGCGAAAGACUAAUCGAA
rnacentral:rRNA from 1 species